AUGCCCGGCGGCAAAGCAGAGAAUGGCUCUCACAAUUCCGUCAGUCGACGAGAAGCCGCUAAAACGUCUGUAGACCAUCAGUGUGAUUCAACCAUUUCUCAACUCUACAAACAGAGCACUACCACAUACGGUGCGAAGCGUGAGAGUGUGCAAGAUUAUCGCCGAUUUUGUAUUUUACGGUGAGUGUACCGUUCUAUCGUUCAGGUGACUGAUUGUGCGAUAACUGUGAGCUACGUUCCAUAUCAAAUCCCUCCUUUCUAUCAGCUUAUCAAUUUGAUUCGUGAAAAAACAACAAAAAUGGGUGACAAUCGUGAAUUGCAAGUGCCCCGAGUAGGAAUAGAAGUUAACAAUGCCGCGACAUCGCCGAUCAAGACACCAUUGACGCAGUUUAAACAAGCCAACAAACAAUCGACAGGAUCAGCAACAGGUUACAAAUCCACCAUCGAGGGACCAUCGAGUAAGGGAGGUAUCGAGUUAUAAAACACAAAACUGGGAUCCAAGGGAC